GGGAUACGACGCCUUGGGGCAUCCCACGGGCGUGGAAAGAAUUUCGGUCAAGGAUGAGCUCGCGGCCUAUCAGCUAGUUGGUGAGGUAAUGGCUCACCAAGGCGACGACGGGUAGCCGGCCUGAGAGGGUGACCGGCCACACUGGGACUGAGACACGGCCCAGACUCCUACGGGAGGCAGCAGUGGGGAAUAUUGCGCAAUGGGCGAAAGCCUGACGCAGCAACGCCGCGUGAGGGAUGAAGGCCUUCGGGUUGUAAACCUCUUUUAGCAGGGAAGAAGCGAAAGUGACGGUACCUGCAGAAAAAGCACCGGCUAACUACGUGCCAGCAGCCGCGGUAAUACGUAGGGUGCAAGCGUUAUCCGGAAUUAUUGGGCGUAAAGAGCUCGUAGGCGGUUUGUCGCGUCUGCUGUGAAAAUCUGAGGCUCAACCUCGGACUUGCAGUGGGUACGGGCAGACUAGAGUGCGGUAGGGGAGAAGGGAAUUCCUGGUGUAGCGGUGGAAUGCGCAGAUAUCAGGAGGAACACCAAUGGCGAAGGCACUUCUCUGGGCCGUAACUGACGCUGAGGAGCGAAAGCGUGGGGAGCGAACAGGAUUAGAUACCCUGGUAGUCCACGCCGUAAACGUUGGGCGCUAGAUGUGGGUCACAUUCCACGUGAUCCGUGUCGCAGCUAACGCAU
rnacentral:rRNA from 1 species